rnacentral:rRNA from 1 species
AACGUAGGACGCAAGCGUUACUCGGAUUUACUGGGCGUAAAGGGCGCGUAGGCGGCCCUCCUUGUCGCGUGUGAAAGCCCCGGGCUCAACCUGGGAACGGCGCGCGAGACGGGGGGGCUGGAGUUCGGGAGAGGAGCGUGGAAUUCCCAGUGUAGAGGUGAAAUUCGUAGAUAUUGGGAAGAACACCGGUGGCGAAGGCGGCGCUCUGGACCGAGACUGACGCUGAGGCGCGAAAGCGUGGGGAGCAAACAGG